rnacentral:rRNA from 1 species
GACGAACGCUGGCGGCGUGCUUAACACAUGCAAGUCGAACGGAAAGGCCCUGCAUUUGUGGGGUGCUCGAGUGGCGAACGGGUGAGUAACACGUGGGUAACCUGGCCUUGACUUUGGGAUAACUACAGGAAACUGGGGCUAAUACCGGAUAGGAGCUACUGCUUCAAGGUGGGGGUGGGCAUGUUUCGGCGGUUGGGGAUGGACUCGCGGCUGAUGAGCUUGCUGGUGGGGUAGUGGCUUACCAAGGAUGUGCCCGGUAGCUGGCCUGCGAGGGUGACAGGCCAGAUUGGGACUGAGAGAGGGCCCAUCCACCUACGGGAGGGAGGAGGGGGGAAUAAUGCAUACUGGACGGAAGAAUGACGCAGCAACGAAGGGUGCGGGAUGAAGGCAUUCGUGUUGGAAACAGAUUUCUCCUGUGGCGAAUCGUGAGUGACGGUAAUGGGUAAAGAAGCACCGGCUAACUACGUG